GAUCUGGCUCAGGAUGAACGCUAGCUACAGGCUUAACACAUGCAAGUCGAGGGGCAGCAUUUUAGUUUGCUUGCAAACUGAAGAUGGCGACCGGCGCACGGGUGAGUAACACGUAUCCAACCUGCCGAUAACUCCGGGAUAGCCUUUCGAAAGAAAGAUUAAUACCGGAUAGCAUACGAAUAUCGCAUGAUAUUUUUAUUAAAGAAUUUCGGUUAUCGAUGGGGAUGCGUUCCAUUAGUUUG
rnacentral:rRNA from 1 species